UUUUAUGGAGAGUUUGAUCCUGGCUCAGAGUGAACGCUGGCGGCGUGCCUAAUACAUGCAAGUCGAACGAUGAAGCUUUUAGCUUGCUAGAAGUGGAUUAGUGGCGCACGGGUGAGUAAGGUAUAGUUAAUCUGCCCUACACAAGAGGACAACAGUUGGAAACGACUGCUAAUACUCUAUACUCCUGCUUAACACAAGUUGAGUAGGGAAAGUUUUUCGGUGUAGGAUGAGACUAUAUAGUAUCAGC
rnacentral:rRNA from 1 species